UACGAAGGGGGCGAGCGUUGUUCGGAAUUACUGGGCGUAAAGGGCGCGUAGGCGGCCGAUCAAGUCAGAUGUGAAAGUCCUGGGCUUAACCUGGGGACUGCAUUUGAUACUGAUUGGCUUGAAUGCAGGAGAGGAUAGCGGAAUUCCCAGUGUAGAGGUGAAACUCGUAGAUAUUGGGAAGAACACCGGUGGCGAAGGCGGCUAUCUGGACUGUGAUUGACGCUGAGGCGCGAAAGCGUGGGGAGCAAACAGG
rnacentral:rRNA from 1 species